rnacentral:rRNA from 1 species
UCUUCCCUCUGGCGGCGUGCCUAAUACAUGCAAGUCGAGCGAACGGACGAGAAGCUUGCUUCUCUGAUGUUAGCGGCGGACGGGUGAGUAACACGUGGAUAACCUACCUAUAAGACUGGGAUAACUUCGGGAAACCGGAGCUAAUACCGGAUAAUAUUUUGAACCGCAUGGUUCAAAAGUAAAAGACGGUCUUGCUGUCACUUAUAGAUGGAUCCGCGCUGCAUUAGCUAGUUGGUAAGGUAACGGCUUACCAAGGCAACGAUGCAUAGCCGACCUGGGAGGGGGGAGGCCCCCGUGGGAAGGGAGGCGCGGCCCAGGGCCUGAGGGGAGGACGAAGAGGGGAAUUUUCGCAGAAGGGGGAAAGCCUGACGGAGGAACGCCGGGUGGGUGUAGAAGGUUUGAGGGCUGGAAAACGUUUUUUUGAGGGAAAAACUUUUGUGUAAGUAACGGUGCCCAUUUGGCGGGAACUUAAUAAGAAAGCCCGGGUAACUUCGGG